rnacentral:rRNA from 1 species
UACGAAUGGAGCGAGCGUUGCUCGGAAUCAUUGGGUUUAAAGGGUGCGCAGGCGGUAAAGUAAGUCAGUGGUGAAAUCCCUUCGCUCAACGAAGGAACUGCCAUUGAUACUGCUAUACUUGAAUAUAGUUGAAGUAGGCGGAAUGUGUAGUGUAGCGGUGAAAUGCUUAGAUAUUACACAGAACACCGAUAGCGAAGGCAGCUUACUAAACUAAUAUUGACGCUCAUGCACGAAAGCGUGGGGAGCGAACAGG